UCCUUGGGUCUGCAGAACUGAUACUGGACAUCACAUUCCUCCUUGUUUCAAUGGAACUCAUCAAAAUCUCCAAAAUUACGUUCAGAGAUGUCUUCCUUAGACUGGUGUUCACUGAUGCGCUCAUGAAGGUGAUGUACUGUGGGCGUCCAAGGAUCACCUGCUCCAAAGUCUGAUCCACCAUUGGCUGGCCAGUGGCCAAUCAGAUAAUCUCAAUGGCAGGAACCAACAGUGAGCUGUGGGCACUGCACUGUGAUGUCACAGAACCUGGGACCUGCGGCCAUGCUGGGCUAGGACAAGAGGCAGAGGCAGAGAGACAGAGAGGAGCCACCCUAAGAAGAGAGACCAGAUACCCUUUUCUCAUCCUUUGAGUUCAACAGAUGUCUCUUCUGGUUGCAAGUGACAGAAGCCCACACAGAAAAGGCUCAGACCAAAGAGAAAUUUAUGGGCUCCUGAAACCGUAUGUCAGAGAGAGAUUGGGCCAGGGCUGGGAUGUGACCCCGGCUCUUUCUUGGUUUCUCCUCGCCGCUUCUCUCUCUCCUGCAGCCUCACAGUCUCAGACAGGAUUCUUUCAAGAAUUGCAAACUUGGCUGAAGACCUUCCUGUCCCCUUUCUUACCUCCCAUGUACAGGAUGGGGGUGAUGAUCCCACUUCUCUGACUCUCACCCAGAAGUUAGGAACUCCUUAAGGUCGGAAUUCCAGCAUAGGCCUCACUGGGCUAAAAUCAAGGCAUCUGAAUGGUGGUGCUUCUCUCCGGAGGCUCCAGGAGAAGAUGCUUCCUUGCUUAUUUGGGUUGCUGGGAGAAUUCAGCUUCUUUCAUUGUAAAACUGAGGUCCUCUUUUCCCCGCUGGCUGUCGGCUAAGGACCUUUUUUUUUUUUUGAGACGGAGUCUCGCUCUGUCGCCCAGGCUGGAGUGCAGUGGCGCGAUCUCGGCUCACUGCAAGCUCCGCCUCCCGGGUUCACGUCAUUCUCCUGCCUCAGUCUCCCAAGUAGCUGGGACUACAGGCACCCGCCACCACGCCCGCCUAAUUUUUUGAAUUUUUUUUUUUUAUUAUACUUUAAGUUUUAGG
rnacentral:lncRNA from 10 species